rnacentral:rRNA from 1 species
AGUGAACGCUGGCGGUAGGCCUAACACAUGCAAGUCGAACGGCAGCACAGUAAGAGCUUGCUCUUACGGGUGGCGAGUGGCGGACGGGUGAGGAAUACAUCGGAAUCUACUUUUUCGUGGGGGAUAACGUAGGGAAACUUACGCUAAUACCGCAUACGACCUACGGGUGAAAGCAGGGGAUCUUCGGACCUUGCGCGAUCGAAUGAGCCGAUGUCGGAUUAGCUAGUUGGCGGGGUAAAGGCCCACCAAGGCGACGAUCCGUAGCUGGUCUGAGAGGAUGAUCAGCCACACUGGAACUGAGACACGGUCCAGACUCCUACGAGAGGCAGCAGUGGGGAAUAUUGGACAAUGGGCGCAAGCCUGAUCCAGCCAUACCGCGUGGGUGAAGAAGGCCUUCGGGUUGUAAAGCCCUUUUGUUGGGAAAGAAAAGCAGCAGGUUAAUACCCCGCUGUUCUGACGGUACCCAAAGAAUAAGCACCGGCUAACUUCGUG